UUUAAUGAGAGUUUGAUCCUGGCUCAGGACGAACGCUGGCGGCGUGCCUAAUACAUGCAAGUAGAACGCUGAGGUUUGGUGUUUACACUAGACUGAUGAGUUGCGAACGGGUGAGUAACGCGUAGGUAACCUGCCUCAUAGCGGGGGAUAACUAUUGGAAACGAUAGCUAAUACCGCAUAAGAGUAAUUAACACAUGUUAGUUAUUUAAAAGGAGCAAUUGCUUCACUGUGAGAUGGACCUGCGUUGUAUUAGCUAGUUGGUGAG
rnacentral:rRNA from 1 species